GAUUGAACGCUGGCGGCAGGCUUAACACAUGCAAGUCGAACGGUAGCAGGAGAAAGCUUGCUUUCUUGCUGACGAGUGGCGGACGGGUGAGUAAUGCUUGGGAAUCUGGCUUAUGGAGGGGGAUAACUACGGGAAACUGUAGCUAAUACCGCGUAGUAUCGAGAGAUGAAAGUGCGGGACCGUAAGGCCGCAUGCCAUGAGAUGAGCCCAAGUGGGAUUAGGUAGUUGGUGGGGUAAAGGCCUACCAAGCCUGCGAUCUCUAGCUGGUCUGAGAGGAUGGCCAGCCACACUGGAACUGAGACACGGUCCAGACUCCUACGGGAGGCAGCAGUGGGGAAUAUUGCGCAAUGGGGGGAACCCUGACGCAGCCAUGCCGCGUGAAUGAAGAAGGCCUUCGGGUUGUAAAGUUCUUUCGGUAUUGAGGAAGGUUGAUGUGUUAAUAGUACAUCAAAUUGACGUUAAAUACAGAAGAAGCACCGGCUAACUCC
rnacentral:rRNA from 1 species